CCUACGGGUGGCAGCAGUGAGGAAUAUUGGUCAAUGGCCGAGAGGCUGAACCAGCCAAGUCGCGUGAGGGAAGAAUGUCCUAUGGAUUGUAAACCUCUUUUGUCAGGGAGCAAAGUCACCCACGUGUGGGUGUUUGAGAGUACCUGAAGAAAAAGCAUCGGCUAACCCCGUUCCGUCAGCCGCGGUAAUACGGGGGAUGCGAGCGUUAUCCGGAUUUAUUGGGUUAAAGGGGUGCGUAGGCGGGUUAUCAAGUCAGCGGUAAAAUCGUGGAGCUCAACUCCAUCCAGCCGUUGAAACUGAGGAUCUUGAGUGGGCGAGAGGUAUGCGGAAUGCGUGGUGUAGCGGUGAAAUGCAUAGAUAUAACGAAGAACACCGAUUGCGAAGGCAGAAUACCGGAGCCCGACUGACGCUGAAGCACGAAAGCGUGGGUAUCGAACAGGAUUAGAUACCCUAGUAGUC
rnacentral:rRNA from 1 species